rnacentral:rRNA from 1 species
GACGAACGCUGGCGGCGUGCUUAACACAUGCAAGUCGAACGGAAAGGCCCUGCUUUUGUGGGUUGCUCGAGUGGCGAACGGGUGAGUAACACGUGAGUAACCUGCCCUUGACUUUGGGAUAACUUCAGGAAACUGGGGCUAAUACCGGAUAGGAGCUCCUGCUGCAUGGUGGGGGUUGGAAAGUUUCGGCGGUUGGGGAUGGACUCGCGGCUUAUCAGCUUGUUGGUGGGGUAGUGGCUUACCAAGGCUUUGACGGGUAGCCGGCCUGAGAGGGGGACCGGCCACAUUGGGACUGAGAGACGGCCCAGACUCCUAAGGGAGGCAGCAGUGGGGAAUAUUGCACAAUGGGCGGAAGCCUGAUGCAGCAACGCCGCGUGCGGGAUGACGGACUUCGGGUUGUAAACCGCUUUCGCCUGUGACGAAGCGUGAGUGACGGUAAUGGGUAAAGAAGCACCGGCUAACUACGUG